rnacentral:lncRNA from 1 species
CUUCAAUGGCAGCUGUGGUCGCCUAACAGCACCAGGCCCUAUUGUAGGGGUUUGGAGUUUUACGUAUGAGUACGGACAUGGAAGAUAUGGAUGAACAUGUAGAAAUUAUAUUUCAUCAGUUAUGGAGAAUAAAGGAAGAAGCAACAA